CACGUAGGGGGCGAGCGUUGUCCGGAUUCAUUGGGCGUAAAGGGCGCGCAGGCGGCUCGGAAAGUCGGGUGUGAAAACUCGGGGCUCAACCCCGGGCGUGCAUCCGAUACUGCCGGGCUUGAGGCAGGUAGGGGAGAUCGGAAUUCCUGGUGUAGCGGUGAAAGUGCGCAGAGUAUCAGGAGGAACACCGGUGGCGAAGGCGGAUCUCUGGGCCGUGUCCUGCGCUGAGGCGCGAAAGCUAGGGGAGCGAACAGG
rnacentral:rRNA from 1 species